GACGAACGCUGGCGGCGUGCUUAACACAUGCAAGUCGAACGGAAAGGCCCUGCUUUUGUGGGGUGCUCGAGUGGCGCAGGGGUGAGUAACACGUGAGUAACCUGCCCUUGACUUUGGGAUAACUUCAGGAAACUGGGGCUAAUACCGGAUAGGAGAUCCUGCUCCAUGGUGGGGGUUGGAAAGUUUCGGCGGUUGUGGAUGGACUCGCGGCUUAUCCGCUUGUUUGGGGGGUAGUGGCUUACCAAGCUUUUGACGGGUAGCCGGCCUGAGAGGGGGACCGGCGACAUGGGGACUGAGAUACGGCCCAGACGCCUACGGGAGGCAGCAGUGGGGAAUAUGGCACAACGGGCGGAAGCCUGAUGCAGCAACGUCGCGUGCGUGAUGACGGCCUUCGGGUUGUAAACCGCUUUCGACUGUGACGAAGCGUGAGUGACGGUAAUUGGUAAAGAAGCACCGGCUAACUACGUG
rnacentral:rRNA from 1 species